rnacentral:rRNA from 1 species
CAAGAUUAAACUUCAAAGGAAUUGACGGGGACCCGCACAAGCGGUGGAUGAUGUGGAUUAAUUCGAUGCAACGCGAUAUACCUUACCUACCCUUGACAUGUCCGGAAUCCUGCUGAGAGGUGGGAGUGCUCGAAAGAGAGCCGGAACACAGGUGCUGCAUGGCUGUCGUCAGCUCGUGUCGUGAGAUGUUGGGUUAAGUCCCGCAACGAGCGCAACCCUUGUCAUUAGUUGCCAUCAUUUAGUUGGGCACUCUAAUGAGACUGCCGGUGACAAACCGGAGGAAGGUGGGGAUGACGUCAAGUCCUCAUGGCCCUUAUGGGUAGGGCUUCACACGUCAUACAAUGGUCGGUACAGAGGGUCGCCAACCCGCGAGGGGGAGCCAAUCUCACAAAGCCGAUCGUAGUCCGGAUUGGAGUCUGCAACUCGACUCCAUGAAGUCGGAAUCGCUAGUAAUCGUGGAUCAGCAUGUCACGGUGAUACGUUCCCGGGUCUUGCACUCACCGC